rnacentral:rRNA from 1 species
CCUACGGGAGGCAGCAGUGAGGAAUAUUGGUCAAUGGGCGCAAGCCUGAACCAGCCAAGUAGCGUGAAGGAAGACGGCCCUACGGGUUGUAAACUUCUUUUAUAAGAGCGUAAAGUGAGGCACGAGUACCUUUUUGUAAGUACUUUAUGAAUAAGGAUCGGCUAACUCCGUGCCAGCAGCCGCGGUAAUACGGAGGAUCCGAGCGUUAUCCGGAUUUAUUGGGUUUAAAGGGAGCGUAGAUGGGUUGUUAAGUCAGUUGUGAAAGUUUGCGGCUCAACCUUAAAAUUGCAAUUGAUACUGGAAGCCUAGAGUACAGUUGAGGUAGGCGGAAUGCGUGGUGUAGCGGUGAAAUGCUUAGAUAUCACGCAGAACUCCGAUUGCGAAGGCAGCCUACUAAGCUGCCACUGACAUUGAUGCUCGAAAGCGUGGGGAGCAAACAGGAUUAGAUACCCUGGUAGUC